AGAGUUUGAUCCUGGCUCAGGAUGAACGCUGGCGGCGUGCCUAAUACAUGCAAGUUGAACGGUUUGUUGCCUUCGGGCAACGAAUAGUAGCGAACGGGUGAGUAACACGUAGGUAACCUGGCCUUUAGAGGGGGAUAACUGUAGGAAACUGCAGCUAAGACCGCAUAAAGAGGACAAGGCAUCUUGUCAAGAAGAAAUAUACUGCAAGGUAUAGCUAAAGGAUGGGCCUGCGGUGCAUUAGCUAGUUGGUGAGAAAAAAGCCCACCAAGGUAAUGAUGCAUAGCCGAUCUGAGAGGAUGACCGGCCACACUGGAACUGAGACACGGUCCAGACUCCUACGGGAGGCAGCAGUAGGGAAUUUUCGGCAAUGGGGGGAACCCUGACCGAGCAACGCCGCGUGAAUGAAGAAGGCCUUCGGGUUGUAAAAUUUUGUUGUUGAGGAAGAAAGGGCAUUAUAGGAAAUGAUGAUGCAUUGACAGUACUUAACGAGGAAGCCACGGCUAACUACGUGCCAGCAGCCGCGGUAAUACGUAGGUGGCAAGCGUUAUCCGGAAUUACUGGGCGUAAAGGGUGAGUAGGCGGUUUAAAAAGUCUGCAGUGAAAGGCAAUGGCUCAACCAAUGCAUGCUGUAGAAACUGAUAGACUAGAGUGCAGGAGAGGUUAACGGAAUUCCAUGUGUAGCGGUGAAAUGCGUAGAUAUAUGGAGGAACACCAGUGGCGAAGGCGGUUAACUGGACUGAAACUGACGCUGAGGCACGAAAGCGUGGGGAGCAAAUAGGAUUAGAUACCCUAGUAGUCCACGCUGUAAACGAUGAGUACUAAGUGUUGGGGGAGAACCCAGUGCUGAAGUAAACACAUUAAGUACUCCGCCUGUGAAGUACGCUCGCAAGAGUGAAACAUAAAGGAAUUGACGGGUGCCCGCACAAGCGGUGGAGCAUGUGGUUUAAUUCGACGCAACGCGAAGAACCUUACCAGGGCUUGACAUACCAAUAAAGGCCCCAGAGAUGGGGAGAUAGAUAUAUUGGAUACAGGUGGUGCAUGGUUGUCGUCAGCUCGUGUCGUGAGAUGUUGGGUUAAG
rnacentral:rRNA from 1 species